UCAGACGAUGCGUCAUGCAUAUCAAUAAGCGGAGGAAAAGAAACUAACAAGGAUUCCCCUAGUAACGGCGAGUGAAGCGGGAAGAGCUCAAAUUUGAAAUCUUAAAGGGUUUCCCUUUACGAAUUGUAGUUUAAAGAAGUGUUUUCUGUUGAGGUUUUGGUAAAAGUUCUUUGGAAUAGGACAUCAUAGAGGGUGAGAAUCCCGUAUUUGACCUUUACUUUCAACUUUGUGAUACACUUUCAAAGAGUCGGAUUGUUUGGGAAUGCAGUCCAAAAUGGGUGGUAAAUUUCAUCUAAAGCUAAAUAUUGGCGAGAGACCGAUAGCGAACAAGUACCGUGAGGGAAAGAUGAAAAGAACUUUGAAAAGAGAGUUAAACAGUACGUGAAAUUGUCAAAAGGGAAGCGUUUGACACCAGUGUUGUUUUCUCGAAAAUCAAUUAAAAAUGGCUCGAUUUUGUAUUGCUGAGACCUUAAAAGCUCACUAUACAUUUUUCGUGUCUUUUUUAAUGCACUUUUCGUUUAACAAGUCAACAUCAGUUUCUUUUGUUGUAAAAGGGUCAUUGGAAGGUGGCUUUCUUUUCGGAGAAAGUGUUUAUAGCCUUUGGCCUCUGCAAUCGGAGAGACUGAGGUCUGCAGCGUAGAUCCUUCGGGGCUAAAUGCAUUUGUGCUAAGUUAUAGCAUUUUAUAGACAACUUGUUGACUAUGAUUUGUCUUGUAGCUUACUCGCUUAUGUUAUUUUACCUACGCUUAGGAUGUUGAAGUCAUCGUAUCGCGC
rnacentral:rRNA from 1 species